CCUACGGGAGGCAGCAGUGAGGAAUAUUGGUCAAUGGGCGCGAGCCUGAACCAGCCAAGUAGCGUGAAGGAUGACUGCCCUAUGGGUUGUAAACUUCUUUUAUAAAGGAAUAAAACGAGGCACGUGUGCCUUGUUGCAUGUACUUUAUGAAUAAGGAUCGGCUAACUCCGUGCAAGCAGCCGCGGUAAUACGGAGGAUCCGAGCGUUAUCCGGAUUUAUUGGGUUUAAAGGGAGCGUAGAUGGGUUGUUAAGUCAGUUGUGAAAGUUUGCGGAUCAACCGUAAAAUUGCAAUUGAUACUGGCAGUCUUGAGUACAGUUGAGGUAGGCGGAAUUCGUGGUGUAGCGGUGAAAUGCUUAGAUAUCACGAAGAACCCCGAUUGCGAAGGCAGCUUACUAAACUGUGACUGACAUUGAUGCUCGAAAGUGUGGGUAUCAAACAGGAUUAGAUACCCCGGUAGUC
rnacentral:rRNA from 1 species